AGCCCAAACGAAAAAAAAAAGAGAAGGAAAAACAGGGAAGAAGACUCCCAAAGGGAGUCUUCUUCCUCCUCUCGCCGGCUCCCAAUCGGAGUCGGAGACGAGCUCCCUCCGGCCCUAUUUAAGGAGGAGAUCCCACCUCUCUCCUUUCCAUCAAAAAUCCUAAGCUCAAUCGACAGCAAUCACCAAAAAAUCUACCGCGAA
rnacentral:lncRNA from 1 species